rnacentral:rRNA from 1 species
UUCCCCCAGUAGCGGCGAGCGAACGGGGAGCAGCCCAGAGCCUGAAUCAGUAUGUGUGUUAGUGGAAGCGUCUGGAAAGGCGCGCGAUACAGGGUGACAGCCCCGUACACAAAAAUGCACAUGCUGUGAGCUCGAUGAGUAGGGCGGGACACGUGGUAUCCUGUCUGAAUAUGGGGGGACCAUCCUCCAAGGCUAAAUACUCCUGACUGACCGAUAGUGAACCAGUACCGUGAGGGAAAGGCGAAAAGAACCCCGGCGAGGGGAGUGAAAAAGAACCUGAAACCGUGUACGUACAAGCAGUGGGAGCACGCUUAGGCGUGUGACUGCGUACCUUUUGUAUAAUGGGUCAGCGACUUAUAUUCUGUAGCAAGGUUAACCGAAUAGGGGAGCCGAAGGGAAACCGAGUCUUAACUGGGCGUUAAGUUGCAGGGUAUAGACCCGAAACCCGGUGAUCUAGCCAUGGGCAGGUUGAAGGUUGGGUAACACUAACUGGAGGACCGAACCGACUAAUGUUGAAAAAUUAGCGGAUGACUUGUGGCUGGGGGUGAAAGGCCAAUCAAACCGGGAGAUAGCUGGUUCUCCCCGAAAGCUAUUUAGGUAGCGCCUCGUGAAUUCAUCUCCGGGGGUAGAGCACUGUUUCGGCAAGGGGGUCAUCCCGACUUACCAACCCGAUGCAAACUGCGAAUACCGGAGAAUGUUAUCACGGGAGACACACGGCGGGUGCUAACGUCCGUCGUGAAGAGGGAAACAACCCAGACCGCCAGCUAAGGUCCCAAAGUCAUGGUUAAGUGGGAAACGAUGUGGGAAGGCCCAGACAGCCAGGAUGUUGGCUUAGAAGCAGCCAUCAUUUAAAGAAAGCGUAAUAGCUCACUGGUCGAGUCGGCCUGCGCGGAAGAUGUAACGGGGCUAAACCAUG